rnacentral:rRNA from 1 species
GAUGAACGCUGGCGGCGUGCUUAACACAUGCAAGUCGAACGAGAAAUGGAGACGGAAACCUUCGGGCGGAAGGCUUCAUUUCGAGUGGCGGACGGGUGAGUAACGCGUGGGUAACCUGCCUCAUACAGGGGGAUAACAGUUGGAAACGACUGUUAAUACCGCAUAAGACCACAGCACCGCAUGGUGCGGGGGUAAAAACUCCGGUGGUAUGAGAUGGACCCGCGUUCGAUUAGCCAGUUGGCGGGGUAACGGCCCACCAAAGCGACGAUCGAUAGCCGAUCUGAGAGGAUGACCGGCCACAUUGGGACUGAGACACGGCCCAAACUCCUACGGGAAGCAGCAGUGGGGAAUAUUGCACAAUGGGGGAAACCCUGAUGCAGCGACGCCGCGUGAGUGAAGAAGUACUUCGGUAUGUAAAGCUCUAUCAGCAGGGAAGAAAAUGACGGUACCUGAGUAAGAAGCCCCGGCUAACUACGUG